UAAUCAGAUAGAGGCGCAUUGUCAAUUAUUAGCACUUUUGAGUACUAUAGGGUACAAAGAUUUAGUGUAAAAGGUGGAAAUGCCGAAAUCAACUCACCCCUAUUCGGUGAUUUGAUUGGGCCGUUAUUUAAAAAAUAGCGGACUGUCGUACAUUUGUACGUUGAGCUAUUGGUCGU
rnacentral:ncRNA from 2 species